GCUCAGGAUAUUAAUCAAACAAUGAAACCAUGACUUGAUUUAAGAAAUAUCAGCGACCCGCUGGCUUUUUAAGAGUGGUGAUCGAAAUAACAAUCAGAAGUUUGCACUAGCUCUUUCAUCCAAACAAUCCAUGAUUUCAUAGGAUUUGGAUCACUUUGUCUAAUAUUUAGCAUCGGAGAAAGAGAGAGGAUCAUUGAGUGAUAGCUGGGUCAAAUCUUCAGCACUAUUUCAAAUAUUGAAGAACGAGCACUAUCUUCUGUCCAGCCCUUCGGCCCCAUUCACCAUCGCUAUGUCGAUUUCAAAUCGUGCCCGACUAACCGCCAAAGAUGCCGUCAUUAAAAAUGCCGAUAUGGAGGGACAAAUGCAAAACUUCGCCACGGAAACCGCCGCCGACGCUUUCUCGAAGUACAACAUGGAAAAGGAUGUUGCCGCGUACAUCAAGAAAGAAUUUGAUAAAAUUCAUAACCCUGCCUGGCAUUGCAUUGUGGGUCGUAACUUCGGCAGUUACGUAACGCACGAGACCAAACAUUUCAUCUACUUCUAUCUUGGACAGACAGCUGUCUUGCUUUUUAAAUCUGGCUGAGGAAAAAGAACAAGAAGAAAAGGGACUAAUUGUAACAAGUUAGACGUGCGGACCCCAUUCUACCAUGACUAUUGUGAUCACGCAACUUUAUGAAAGUUUGAUAAUAAUAAAAAAUCACCCAUUUAAAGCAUGAUCAAUUUUGGUACAUGUAUAUGUUCGGCGAUACUAUUUCCCUCUUUUCUCGGAAUAAUACUUCCACAUCUUUAGUUUGCAAAAAUAGAGAUACCAAACACCAAAAAUUUCGAAUUGGAUGUGAAAGUUUAUCCCAUCGUCUGUAAAUAUCCGCUAUGAUCCCCCAAGAAGUGAGUAAAAAUUAUUGGUGCUGUAAACGAUAGUUUGGGUUUUCAAUAAUAUACAUUUUAUAGCUGCAUGAACUUAGUAAUACUAGGGCAAAGUUGAUAGACACAUUUAGCCUAGCGUUUGGUGUGUAUCUAAAAGCGCUUUGUACAUUUUGUCGGCAUCGUAAUACGAUAUGAUUCUUUACAGAUAUAAGAAAAAAAGGAAAAUAUCAAUAGCGCUCUGUGUAGAAAAUCUAUGUUACUUAUACGUUGAGUAUUGUAUAUUGUAUGUAUAUAGGUAAAUAAAAGUUUAUUUACAUAUACAAAUUUGAAGAUUAUUUUAAGAUGUAAGCACCGACGUCGUCAUUAUUAAUCGACUAUACGGCAACAGAUCGUGAAUGUGAGUGUUCCUGGUAAUGAUAUAUCUAUACUAGAUGAUGAGAUAGGAAGAGGAGAAGGCGGUUUAAUGACGAGAGGACUUGACAAGUUCCAACAACACGCCAUAUCUUGCAUGUCUUGUCUUCUUAUAUCAAACAAGUCUAUUUUCCACAUUUCAACAACUCCCCAUUUUGUCUUCUGGUCCAAUAAAAGUCUACUUUUCGAAUUUCAACAAUUACUAGUCAUCUACAAGUGGACUUGAACAACCCGUCAUCUCUUUAACUUGUCUCGUCAUCUGGUUGCAUCCGUACUUUUGAAUGAUGGCCCGAGAUUCUGGAUUUCCUUAAAUGAAGAAAUCUUUCAUAGUCAAUUCAUUAGCUCUUUUAUUAAAAAAUACUUAUUAUCUAAAUCUUAUACGUCAUCGUGUCAUCUUAUUGUAUAAUUACAUCAUACCACACCAUUGUAAUUAUGUACUUACUUUCAUUUUUCAUAUUUAUGGGUUUUUUUGUGCGUUGCCAGUCUUCGUAGGCUAAUAUCUAUAAUUUUAUGGACCACAAACUACAAGCACUUUUUUUAUUGAAUCCCUCCAUUUAUACAGGAUAUUGCUCAUCUAUUAUAAUUCGCACUUGUGUUUUGUUAUGUUUUCUUAUCGAAUAGAAAUAUGUAUAUAUUAUCUUGAUCUAUAUUACUCGUAUGAUUAUACUAUAUCAAACGUCAUUAUGAUAUUUCUUUAUUUUUCUUGUUAGAAUUUGAAUACCGUACAUUACUUUAUAAAUGUCACUCUUUGAAGAACAAUCGAAUCUCUAUCAUUUAGCCAAAUUAUCAAUACUUUGUAUUUAUGGUAAAUGUAGCCCAUUGAUGCUUUAACAUACUGUAUUUAAAAAUGAACAUAUACUUACCCACGUUGUAUUCUGAAUACCACGGUCUAAAUCUUUGCCAUGCAAUGGAAAACCAAAUCAUUAUAGGCCUGCGUGGAUGUUGUCUUCCUUUCUCACUUUGCUCCUGCGCACAUUAGACAGUAACUAACACUUAAUUGUAUAUUUUAAUAUUAAAUGAAGCCCAACAGAUACAUGUAA